UACGGGGGGGGCAAGCGUUGUUCGGAAUUACUGGGCGUAAAGGGCGCGUAGGCGGCCUGCUAAGUCGGACGUGAAAUCCCUCGGCUCAACCGGGGAACUGCGUCCGAUACUGGUGGGCUCGAAUCCGGGAGAGGGAUGUGGAAUUCCAGGUGUAGCGGUGAAAUGCGUAGAUAUCUGGAGGAACACCGGUGGCGAAGGCGGCAUCCUGGACCGGCAUUGACGCUGGAGGAGACGAAGCGGUGGGAGCGAACAGG
rnacentral:rRNA from 1 species